AGUGAACGCUGGCGGUAGGCCUAACACAUGCGAGUCGAACGGCAGCACAGUAAGAGCUUGCUCUUACGGGUGGCGAGUGGCGGACGGGUGAGGAAUACAUCGGAAUCUACUUUUUCGUGGGGGAUAACGUAGGGAAACUUACGCUAAUACCGCAUACGACCUACGGGUGAAAGCAGGGGAUCUUCGGACCUUGCGCGACUGAAUGAGCCGAUGUCGGAUUAGCUAGUUGGCGGGGUAAAGGCCCACCAAGGCAACGAUCCGUAGCUGGUCUGAGAGGAUGAUCAGCCACACUGGAACUGAGACACGGUCCAGACUCCUACGGGAGGCAGCAGUGGGGAAUAUUGGACAAUGGGCGCAAGCCUGAUCCAGCCAUACCGCGUGGGUGAAGAAGGCCUUCGGGUUGUAAAGCCCUUUUGUUGGGAAAGAAAAGCAGCAGGUUAAUACCCCGCUGUUCUGACGGUACCCAAAGAAUAAGCACCGGCUAACUUCGUG
rnacentral:rRNA from 1 species